rnacentral:rRNA from 1 species
AUUGAACGCUGGCGGCAUGCCUUACACAUGCAAGUCGAACGGCAGCACGGGGCAACCUGGUGGCGAGUGGCGAACGGGUGAGUAAUGCAUCGGAACGUGCCAUUGAGUGGGGGAUAACGUAGCGAAAGUUGCGCUAAUACCGCAUAUUCUGUGAGCAGGAAAGCAGGGGACCGCAAGGCCUUGCGCUCUUUGAGCGGCCGAUGUCAGAUUAGCUAGUUGGUGAGGUAACGGCUUACCAAGGCGACGAUCUGUAGCGGGUCUGAGAGGAUGAUCCGCCACACUGGAACCGAGACACGGUCCAGACUCCUACGGGAGGCAGCAGUGGGGAAUUUUGGGACAAUGGGCGCAAGCCUGAUCCAGCCAUGCCGCGUGAGUGAAGAAGGCCUCGGUUGUAAGAC